rnacentral:rRNA from 1 species
GACGAACGCUGGCGGCGUGCUUAACACAUGCAAGUCGAACGGAAAGGCCCUGCUUUUGUGGGGUGCUCGAGUGGCGAACGGGUGAGUAACACGUGAGUAACCUGCCCUUGACUUUGGGAUAACUUCAGGAAACUGGGGCUAAUAUCGGAUAGGAGCUCCUGCUGCAUGGUGGGGGUUGGAAAGUUUCGGCGGUUGGGGAUGGACUCGCGGCUUAUCAGCUUGUUGGUGGGGUAGUGGCUUACCAAGGCUUUGACGGGUAGCCGGCCUGAGAGGGUGAACGGCCACAUGGGGACUAAGAGACGGCCCAGACUCCUACGGGAGGCAGCAGUGGGGAAUAUGGCACAAUGAGCGGAAGCCUGAUGCGGCAACGCCGCGUGCGGGAUGACGGCCUUCGGGUUGUAAACCGCUUUCGCCUGUGACGAAGCGUGAGUGACGGUAAUGAGUAAAGAAGCACCGGCUAACUACGUG